rnacentral:rRNA from 1 species
AUUGAACGCUGGCGGCAGGCCUAACACAUGCAAGUCGAACGAGUGGCGGACGGGUGAGUAAUGUCUGGGUAACUGCCUGAUGGAGGGGGAUAACUACUGGAAACGGUAGCUAAUACCGCAUACCAUCGGAUGUGCCCAGAUGGGAUUGGCUAGUAGGUGGGGUAAAGGCUCACCUAGGCGACGAUCCCUAGCUGGUCUGAGAGGAUGACCAGCCACACUGGGACUGAGCCACGGUCCAGACUCCUACGGGAGGCAGCAUUGGGGAAUAUUGCACUAUGAGCGCAAGCCUGAUGCAGCCAUGCAGCGUGUAUGAUGAAGUCCUUCGGGUUGUAAGGUACUUUCAGCGAGGAGGCGUUACCCGCAGAAGAAGCGCCGGCUAACUCCGUGCCAGCAGCCGCGGUAAUUC